UACAGAGGAUGCAAGCGUUAUCCGGAAUGAUUGGGCGUAAAGCGUCCGCAGGUGGCUGUGUAAGUCUGCUGUUAAAGAGUGAGGCUCAACCUCAUAAAGGCAGUGGAAACUACAUGGCUAGAGUGCGUUCGGGGCAGAGGGAAUUCCUGGUGUAGCGGUGAAAUGCGUAGAGAUCAGGAAGAACACCGGUGGCGAAAGCGCUCUGCUAGGCCGCAACUGACACUGAGGGAAGCUAGGGGAGCGAAUGGG
rnacentral:rRNA from 1 species